rnacentral:rRNA from 1 species
AUACGGAGGGGGCAAGCGUUGUUCGGAAUUACUGGGCGUAAAGGGUUCGUAGGCGGUUAUUUAAGUCAGAUGUGAAAGCCCCGGGCUCAACCUGGGAAUUGCAUCUGAUACUGGGUCACUCGAGUUUAAGAGAGGAGUGUGGAAUUUCCGGUGUAGCGGUGAAAUGCAUAGAGAUCGGAAGGAACAUCAGUGGCGAAGGCGGCACUCUGGCUUAAAACUGACGCUGAGGAACGAAAGCGUGGGUAGCAAACAGGAUUAGAAACCCUAGUAGUCC